AAUCCAUAGGUUAAUGAGGCGAACCGGGGGAACUGAAACAUCUAAGUACCCCGAGGAAAAGAAAUCAACCGAGAUUCCCCCAGUAGCGGCGAGCGAACGGGGAGGAGCCCAGAGCCUGAAUCAGCAUGUGUGUUAGUGGAAGCGUCUGGAAAGGCGCGCGAUACAGGGUGACAGCCCCGUACACAAAAGCGCAUGUGCUGUGAGCUCGAUGAGUAGGGCGGGACACGUGGUAUCCUGUCUGAAUAUGGGGGGACCAUCCUCCAAGGCUAAAUACUCCUGACUGACCGAUAGUGAACCAGUACCGUGAGGGAAAGGCGAAAAGAACCCCGGCGAGGGGAGUGAAAAAGAACCUGAAACCGUGUACGUACAAGCAGUGGGAGCCCCACCACUAAGCCAGUGGUGAACUCCACAUACGCAUCCUUUGCUGAGGAUACGGUUAACGGAGCGAAAGCGACGUUCAACCUCAGAAGAAGCAGAGGGGGCUUAGUGGUGGGGUGACUGCGUACCUUUUGUAUAAUGGGUCAGCGACUUAUAUUCUGUAGCAAGGUUAACCGUAUAGGGGAGCCGUAGGGAAACCGAGUCUUAACCGGGCGUUAAGUUGCAGGGUAUAGACCCGAAACCCGGUG
rnacentral:rRNA from 1 species